rnacentral:rRNA from 1 species
UCUACGGGUGGCUGCAGUGGGGAAUAUUGGACAAUGGGCGAAAGCCUGAUCCAGCCAUGCCGCGUGUGUGAAGAAGGCCUUCGGGUUGUAAAGCACUUUCAGUGGGGAAGAAAGCCUUGGGGCUAAUACCCUCGAGGAAGGACAUCACCCACAGAAGAAGCACCGGCUAACUCCGUGCCAGCAGCCGCGGUAAUACGGAGGGUGCGAGCGUUAAUCGGAAUUACUGGGCGUAAAGCGCGCGUAGGCGGUCUGAUAAGCCGGUUGUGAAAGCCCCGGGCUCAACCUGGGAACGGCAUCCGGAACUGUCAGGCUAGAGUGCAGGAGAGGAAGGUAGAAUUCCCGGUGUAGCGGUGAAAUGCGUAGAGAUCGGGAGGAAUACCAGUGGCGAAGGCGGCCUUCUGGACUGACACUGACGCUGAGGUGCGAAAGCGUGGGUAGCAAACAGGAUUAGAUACCCCAGUAGU